UGGGGAAUUUUGGACAAUGGGCGCAAGCCUGAUCCAGCAAUGCCGCGUGCAGGAUGAAGGCCUUCGGGUUGUAAACUGCUUUUGUACGGAACGAAACGGCUCUGUCUAAUACAUGGGGCUAAUGACGGUACCGUAAGAAUAAGCACCGGCUAACUACGUGCCAGCAGCCUCGGUAAUACGUAGGGUGCAAGCGUUAAUCGGAAUUACUGGGCGUAAAGCGUGCGCAGGCGGGGAUGUAAGACAGGUGUGAAAUCCGCGGGCUUAACCUGGGACCUGCAUUUGUGAGUGUAUAGCUAGAGUACGGUAGAGGGGGAUGGAAUUCCGAGUGUAGCAGUGAAAUGUGUAGAUAUGCGGAGGAACACCGAUGGCGAAGGCAAUCCCCUGGACCUGUACUGACGCUCAUGCACGAAAGCGUGGGGAGCAAACA
rnacentral:rRNA from 1 species